GGCCCUGAAACGCACACGUGUGAAGGAAACGGACUGCUAUUAUAUUACAGUCCAAAAAGUUUUGUUUGUUUUUUUAAAUGCAAGCUAUUGUGACACCCAGAGGCGGCUCUAGACUUUAUGAGGCCUUAGGCGAAACUCAAACAUUAGGCCCCACUAACAAAAAAAGUGUCACAUAUAUACAAUGAUGCACAGUUUACCUGUGUAUGUGCCUAAAAGAGUGUGUCUGACAGAGUAUCCUUGUGCGUGAAUGUAUGCCUGUGAGCAUGUUUGCGUUUUUGUCUGAGACCCUAUGUGUAUCGGGUAGCUGCUUGAAGUGUGUUGUGUGUAUGGGGGUUGAUGGUGAGAAAGGCGGGUGAUGGUGAUGUGAGAAAAGAAGGAGGGUGGUGAUGCUGAGGGUGGUGGAGGGGGUGGU